GGGCUCGCAGGCGGUUUCUUAAGUCUGAUGUGAAAGCCCCCGGCUCAACCGGGGAGGGUCAUUGGAAACUGGGAAACUUGAGUGCAGAAGAGGAGAGUGGAAUUCCACGUGUAGCGGUGAAAUGCGUAGAGAUGUGGAGGAACACCAGUGGCGAAGGCGACUCUCUGGUCUGUAACUGACGCUGAGGAGCGAAAGCGUGGGGAGCGAACAGGAUUAGAUACCCUGGUAGUCCACGCCGUAAACGAUGAGUGCUAAGUGUUAGGGGGUUUCCGCCCCUUAGUGCUGCAGCUAACGCAUUAAGCACUCCGCCUGGGGAGUACGGUCGCAAGACUGAAACUCAAAGGAAUUGACGGGGGCCCGCACAAGCGGUGGAGCAUGUGGUUUAAUUCGAAGCAACGCGAAGAACCUUACCAGGUCUUGACAUCCUCUGACAACCCUAGAGAUAGGGCUUUCCCUUCGGGGACAGAGUGACAGGUGGUGCAUGGUUGUCGUCAGCUCGUGUCGUGAGAUGUUGGGUUAAGUCCCGCAACGAGCGCAACCCUUGAUCUUAGUUGCCAGCAUUUAGUUGGGCACUCUAAGGUGACUGCCGGUGACAAACCGGAGGAAGGUGGGGAUGACGUCAAAUCAUCAUGCCCCUUAUGACCUGGGCUACACACGUGCUACAAUGGACAGAACAAAGGGCUGCGAGACCGCAGGGUUUAGCCAAUCCCAUAAAUCUGUUCUCAGUUCGGAUCGCAGUCUGCAACUCGACUGCGUGAA
rnacentral:rRNA from 1 species